rnacentral:rRNA from 1 species
AGAGUUUGAUCCUGGCUCAGGACGAACGCUGACGGUGUGCUUUAGACAUGCAAGUCGAACGAGAAAGCCCUUCGGGGUGAGUACAGUGGCGAACGGGUGAGUAACACGUGGGCAAUCUGCCCCUCGCAGGGGGACAACCGGGGGAAACCCCGGCUAAUACCCCGUACGCUUACGGAGCCGCAUGGCUCCAUAAGGAGAGGUAGCUUCGGCCAUCCGGCGAGGGAUGAGCCCGCGGUACAUUAGCUAGUUGGUGAGGUAACGGCUUACCAAGGCGACGAUGUAUAGCUGGUCUGAGAGGAUGAUCAGCCACACUGGGACUGAGACACGGCCCAGACUCCUACGGGAGGCAGCAGUCGGGAAUCUUGCGCAGUGGGCGAAAGCCUGACGCAGCAACACCGUGUGAGCGACGAAGGCCUUCGGGUCGUAAAGCUCUGUUGUUGGGGACGAAGGGUUAGGGGUUAAUAGCCCCGAGCCUGACGGUACCCUUCGAGGAAGCCCCGGCUAACUACGUGCCAGCAGCCGCGGUAAUACGUAGGGGGCGAGCGUUGUCCGGAAUUAUUGGGCGUAAAGAGCGUGUAGGCGGUUCGGUAAGUCUGCCGUGAAAACCCAGGGCUCAACCCUGGGCGUGCGGUGGAUACUGCCGGGCUAGAGGGUGGUAGAGGCGAGUGGAAUUCCCGGUGUAGCGGUGAAAUGCGCAGACAUCGGGAGGAACACCAGUAGCGAAGGCGGCUCGCUGGGCCACACCUGACGCUGAGACGCGAAAGCGUGGGGAGCAAACAGGAUUAGAUACCCUAGUAGUCC